rnacentral:rRNA from 1 species
CCUACGGGAGGCAGCAGUGGGGAAUAUUGCACAAUGGGGGAAACCCUGAUGCAGCGACGCCGCGUGAGCGAAGGAGUAUUUCGGUACGUAAAGCUCUAUCAGCAGGGAAGAAAAUGACGGUACCUGACCAAGAAGCCCCGGCUAACUACGUGCCAGCAGCCGCGGUAAUACGCAGGGGGCAAGCGUUAUCCGGAUUUACUGGGUGUAAAGGGAGCGUAGACGGCAGCGCAAGUCUGGAGUGAAAUGCCGGAGCCCAACCCCGGAACUGCUUUGGAAACUGUGCAGCUGGAGUGCAGGAGAGGUAA